CUCUAAAGAUCCAAUACCCCAAACUUACUAAACAGUCUCAUCACUGUUUAUUAAUACAUUAUGUACAAAAAAAAUAAAAAAAAAUAAAAAACAAUGAAAAACAAAAUAUUCUCCUUGCAUGGUGCCUACAUAACCUACUUCAAAAAUAGGUAACUAGAAUUUUGCACUGAGAAUUGUUCUAGUACAAAGCAGAUAUCAUCAACAUCGACAGGCAUAUUAGCUGGAUCUCAAUUAAGAAUUCACAAGUGUUAGUUACACAAUUAUAAAUUAAGAGAGAAAGGUGCAAAGAAAAAAAAAUAAUUAAUAAAUAAAUAAAAAUAAAUGAAUAAAAAAAUAUAAAAUUCUAUCAAAUAAAAAAAUAAAUAUUAAAAUAAAAAAUUAUAUUAUCUGUCUAAUACCAUCUAUAUUGAGUUGCCUCCUCAUCAACGCUUUGUUUAUAGUCGUUAGUUCGACUUUGCAGUAAAUGGGGAGCUAUGGUAGAUCUUGAUGUCUUAAAAUUCUCUUCCAAAUAUACAUAUCUUUUUUCAGUUUCUCCUAUCUUGCCCCAUCCUCUUUUUUAUCAUCAUCUUCAUUUGAUUUGGCUGUUUCCUUGACAUCAAGAUUUUUUUCUAUCUUGGUGAGCUUUUUGGACACAUACUCAUUAAUUAUAAGUAUUAAAACAUUCAUCAGUGUCCAAAGGAAUUUUGUGGCAUGAAAAACGUGAAAAGUUACUUAUUGUCUCCAACUUGUAAUGUUGACUUACUAUCCUACGCAUCAAUUAAUGUUCUACCAGUUGCGAGGAAGAGUCUCCCAAAUAUGAGUGAAACUUCUUUAUCAACUUCCAUGUCCAUAACUAUGAAGUUAACUGGGAAUAUAAAGCUCUCCACCUGUAUCAGCACAUCUUUUACUAUUCUCAAAGGGUAUUUUGCCGAUUUAUCCACCAACUAUAAUGACACUAUUGUGGGCUUCACUUUGUUAAUACCUAACUUUUUAAAUACAUAAUAAAACACUAAGUUAAUACUAACAUCAAGAUCACAUAGAGCAUUCUUAAAAUCAAAAUUGUCAAUUUUGCAUGGUAUAAUAAAACUUCCUAAAUCUUUCACUUUAGGCGGUAACUUAUUUUUAAUGAUGAUAUUGCACACCUCUUGGAGCAUAAUAGUCUCAUGAUUUUUCAAACUCCUCUUCUUUGUUAGAAUCACCUUAAGAAACUUCACAUACUUUUACAUUUGAGUAAGAGCCUCUCCAAAAGGAACAUUUAUGUGAAGUUUCUUAAAUAUAUCAAGAAAUUUAAGGAUAUUCUUAUCUUUAUUAUACUUUUGAGGCAUUAUGGAAAUGGAACAGGUGGCACAUGGGCUUGAACACUACUUGUUUUUUUCUCUUCUUAUUACUCUACCUUUUCUUUUUCAAUAUUUUUCUCUUUGGUUCCUUCAUCCAUUCUUGCAUCUGUCAAUUAUUUACGCUUCUCAAGGUGAUUGUCAUAACAUGUUUUUUUGGAUUUGUCUCGGUGUUACCCAACAAGGUACCUUGAGCUCUACCAUUAAUCAUGUUUGCCAGUUGACCCACUUGGAUUUCCAGUAUUUUGAUUGACGCUUGCUAGCUUUGCAACAUUAAUUGUUGAUUCUAAAUGAUUAUUUCAGUCUUUGUUGUAAAACUCUAUUGUGUUCUUAUGAAUGAUUGCAACCAUCUCUUCAAGUAAGGGCUUCUUUUCUUGAGGUUAAAAUUAUGGGGGAGGCCCGGUCACAUUCUAUUGAUUCUUACAUGAAAAUUUUGGAUGAUUUCUCAAUCCAAGAUUAUAUGCAUUGGAGUAUGGCUUAUAUGGUGGCAUGCCCUGUCCAACUACAAAACUCAUUUGUUUUGCUUCAUAUCCUUAAAAAGGAUCUUUAAAUAAACCUUUUGUAUGAGAAUUAACAAUAUUAACACUCUUUUGAUCAAUUUUCUUAAAUAAAGAGUCACUUUUUGCAUUAAAAGUAGUUAAAACAUCAAUUUUAUAUAAUCCAACAUUCAUUUUAGGGUGACGUCUUUCUAUGGCCAUUGAUAGUUAUUGAUGGUCAUCUCUUCUAAGAGCUCAUAAGCAUCACCUGUGGACUUCCCCGCGAAAGCACCUCUACUAGCUGCAUUAAUUGUGAUCCUAGUUUGUUGGUUCAAUCUGGUAUAAAAUGUUUGAACCAACAACUACUUAGGCAACCCAUAAUGAGGACAACUUCUAAUCAAUUUCUUAAAUCGCUCUCAUGCCUUAUACAACAUCUCUCCAUCCAUUUGAUAAAAACUAGUGAUGUUGUUUCUUAUCCUUACCAUCUUAACUGGUGGGAAAAACUUAGCUAAAAAUUUUUGAGAUAGGUAUUCCCAUAUAAUAAUUAUAUCUAUAGGACGAAAAUGUAAUUAACUUUUAAUUUUAUCUCAUAAAAAAAAAAUGAGUCCAAGUCUAAUUGUUUCACUGGAAACACCAUUCUGUUUAAUAGUAUCACAAAUUUAUAAAAAGUUAGAUCUAUGGGCAUUAGGAUCAUCAUUUGGUAAAUCCCUCAAAUUGAAUUGUGGUUUGGAUCAUUUGAAUGAUGGCGAGUUUAAUCUCAAAGUUGUUAGCAUUGAUACUCGAUCGAACAAUACUGGAUGAAGCUCCUAUAAAUGAAGAGGUAGCAAAACCCCUAAAUGCUCUCGUAUUAUUCUCAUCCAAAACAUCUCAAAGUCGCCAAUUUUCUUCGUUUUUAACAAUCUUUAAUCUUACUCACCCUUCUGCUGCUAAUUGUUUCCUUCUAUCUCAAUUUAAUUGUCUACAAAUCUUUUCGAUCUUUGGAUUUAUAGGAAGUAAUUCUACACUGUUCAAUUGGCUCAUAUGCCAAUUGAUAUAAAAAAAAUAGUGUGAUCUGCUCACAAAAAAAAAAUAAAAUAAAAUAAUAAACUUAAAUUAAGAAUAAUAAAUAAAAUAAAAACUAAAAAGCAAGUAAACUAGAAACAAGAAAAUAAACUUUAGAUUAAUAAUAAAACCUUAGUAUUGAUAUUGAUACUAAUAAUCCCUGGCAACGACGCCAAAAACUUGAUAGACGAAUUCACAAAUACAUGAAAUCGUUCAAGUAAUAAAGUAAUAAGUAGAGUAUCGUCCCAUAAGAAUUGUGUAUCAAGUAUCAAAAUUAUACACAUUCUACUAUUAUCUAGAAAUUAAAAUUAAAUUUAUGAAAUAAGAAAUUAAAAUAAUUUAAUUAAAGUAAAAUAAUUAAAUUCAUAAAAACUAUCAACAAAAACGCACCAGAAUAAUAGAUUUCACUUGAAACUUGAAUAAAUUCUAAUUUUAAUUUCGCAAUCGACUUAAUUUAGUGCGUAAUAGUCAAAUUAUCCUAAUAUACUUUUGUUUUCCUUUCUUAUAUUACUUAGGUCUAUUAAUUAAUAAUUGCUAACCUUCGUAACAAUUAUUAAUUUGAUUUAGUUAAAUUUAUGAUAAUUCGAGUCUUUCACAUUAACUUGACUAUAAUACUUCAGUUCAAGUCUAAAUUAAUAUAUAAUAAUAUAUGCCUAAUUAAUUUAAUCUCACUCCGGUCACUCUAAAACUAUCAAUCACAAAUUAAACCAUGAGUUGAUCAAUUCUCACAAUUGUAUUAAGUUUAAUAUUGUUGAACUACAAACAGAAAAAAGCUAAAAAUUAAUCUUAAAACUUACAUUUGAUUCAUAUUACAUCAAUCACUUCGGCAAAAAAAGUUUCACGGCGCAUGUGGAUUGAGAAAUAGUAAUUAUAUUUGAAAAAAUAAUAAUAAUGUAAUAUUUAACAAAUAAAUUCUCAACAAUUCAAAAUAUUAGCAUUCAAGUGUCAUAAAAAUUUCUCAGACUUUUAUCCCAGAACAAUGUAGAUUGAAAACUAAAAAAAUAAAUAAAUUACCUUAAUAUCUUUUGUGGUUUCUCCCUCUACGCCCCAUGCGAUUGCUUCUGCUUCAACUUCCCCGUUGUCAAUCGGUUCACUCUGGUUCUGCCUUCCACCAUAUCGUUUUGAGUCGCACUUAGCUUCUACGUCACUACCACUCGUUCCUCCAGUUCCCUCUUCUGCCAAACUUCUUCUCUUUAACUCUCGUCUCUCUGUCUAUAAUCAUAUAUCUCUUUCUUCUAUUUUCUUCUAUUGGAUAUCCUUUUAUAGGCGG
rnacentral:lncRNA from 1 species